CGCGUAGGCGGUCUCUUAAGUCAGAUGUGAAAGCCCGGGGCUUAACCCCGGAAGUGCAUUUGAAACUAAGGGACUUGAGUAUGGGAGAGGGAAGUGGAAUUCCUGGUGUAGAGGUGAAAUUCGUAGAUAUCAGGAGGAACACCGGUGGCGAAGGCGACUUCCUGGACCAAUACUGACGCUGAGGCGCGAAGGCGUGGUGAGCAAACAGGAUUAGAUACCCUGGUAGUCC
rnacentral:rRNA from 1 species